rnacentral:rRNA from 1 species
AGUGAACGCUGGCGGUAGGCCUAACACAUGCAAGUCGAACGGCAGCACAGUAAGAGCUUGCUCUUACGGGUGGCGAGUGGCGGACGGGUGAGGAAUACAUCGGCAUCUACUUUUUCGUGGGGGAUAACGUAGGGAAACUUACGCUAAUACCGCAUACGACCUACGGGUGAAAGCAGGGGAUCUUCGGACCUUGCGCGAUUGAAUGAGCCGAUGUCGGAUUAGCUAGUUGGCGGGGUAAAGGCCCACCAAGGCGACGAUCCGUAGCUGGUCUGAGAGGAUGAUCAGCCACACUGGAACUGAGACACGGUCCAGACUCCUACGGGAGGCAGCAGUGGGGAAUAUUGGACAAUGGGCGCAAGCCUGAUCCAGCCAUACCGCGUGGGUGAAGAAGGCCUUCGGGUUGUAAAGCCCUUUUGUUGGGAAAGAAAAGCAGCAGGUUAAUACCCCGCUGUUCUGACGGUACCCAAAGAAUAAGCACCGGCCAACUUCGUG